rnacentral:rRNA from 1 species
GACGAACGCUGGCGGCGUGCUUAACACAUGCAAGUCGAACGGAAAGGCCCUGCUUUUGUGGGGUGCUCGAGUGGCGAACGGGUGAGUAACACGUGAGUAACCUGCCCUUGACUUUGGGAUAACUUCAGGAAACUGGGGCUAAUACCGGAUAGGAGCUCCUGCUGCAUGGUGGGGGUUGGAAAGUUUCGGCGGUUGGGGAUGGACUCGCGGCUUAUCAGCUUGUUGGUGGGGUAGUGGCUUACCAAGGCUUUGACGGGUAGCCGGCCUGAGAGGGUGACCGGCCACAUUGGGACUGAGAUACGGCCCAGAGUCCUACGGGAGGCAGCAGUGGGGAAUAUUGCACAAUGGGCGGAAGCCUGAUGCAGCAACGCCGCGUGCGGGAUGACGGCCUUCGGGUUGUAAACCGCUUUCGCCUGUGACGAAGCGUGAGUGACGGUAAUGGGUAAAGAAGCACCUGCUAACUACGUG